CUCAGUUCGGACUGUGGGCUGCAACCCGCCCACACGAAGUCGGAGUUGCUAGUAAUCCCGAAUCAGCAUGUCGGGGUGAAUGCGUUCCCGGGUCUUGUACACACCGCCCGUCACGCCAUGGGAGGUUGGGAGUGCCCAAAGUCGGUGACCUAACCGCAAGGAGGACGCCGCCGAAGGUGGGGUUGAUGAUUAGGGUUAAGUCGUAACAAGGUACC
rnacentral:rRNA from 1 species